CUGGCGGCGUGCUUAACACAUGCAAGUCGAACGAUGAAACCUAGCUUGCUAGGUGGAUUAGUGGCGCACGGGUGAGUAAUAUAUAGGUAAUGUGCCUCUUAGUCUGGGAUAGCCAUUGGAAACGAUGAUUAAUACUGGAUACUCCUUCUAACUCUAAUGUUAGUCGGGAAAGUUUUUCGCUAAGAGAUCAGCCUAUAUCCCAUCAGUUAGUUGGUAAGGUAACGGCUUACCAAGGCAAUGACGGGUAGCGGGUUUGAGAGGAUGAUCCGCCACACUGGUACUGAGACACGGACCAGACUCCUACGGGAGGCAGCAGUGAGGAAUAUUGCACAAUGGGGGAAACCCUGAUGCAGCAACGCCGCGUGGAGGAUGACGCAUUUCGGUGUGUAAACUCCUUUUAUAUGUCAAGAAAAUGACGGUAGCAUAUGAAUAAGCACCGGCUAACUCCGUGCCAGCAGCCGCGGUAAUACGGAGGGUGCAAGCGUUACUCGGAAUCACUGGGCGUAAAGGACGCGUAGGCGGAUUGGAAAGUCAGAUGUGAAAUCCUACAGCUUAACUGUAGAACUGCAUUUGAAACUUCUAAUCUAGAGUAUGGGAGGGGGAGAUGGAAUUAGUGGUGUAGGGGUAAAAUCCGUAGAUAUCACUAGGAAUACCGAAAGCGAAGGCGAUCUCCUGGAACAUUACUGACGCUAAGGCGUGAAAGCGUGGGGAGCAAACAGGAUUAGAUACCCUGGUAGUCCACGCCCUAAACGAUGAACACUAGUCGUCGGGAUGCUUGUCAUCUCGGUGAUGCACUUAACAGAUUAAGUGUUCCGCCUGGGGAGUAC
rnacentral:rRNA from 1 species